AAAUUGAAGAGUUUGAUCAUGGCUCAGAUUGAACGCUGGCGGCAGGCCUAACACAUGCAAGUCGAACGGUAACAGGAAGCAGCUUGCUGCUUUGCUGACGAGUGGCGGACGGGUGAGUAAUGUCUGGGAAACUGCCUGAUGGAGGGGGAUAACUACUGGAAACGGUGGCUAAUACCGCAUAACGUC
rnacentral:rRNA from 13 species